rnacentral:rRNA from 1 species
UGCAAGUCGAGCGGUAACAGGGGUAGCUUGCUACCCGCUGACGAGCGGCGGACGGGUGAGUAAUGCAUGGGUAUCUGCCCGGUAGUGGGGGAUAACUCGGGGAAACCCGAGCUAAUACCGCAUACGUCCUACGGGAGAAAGCAGGGGAUCUUCGGACCUUGCGCUAUCGGAUGAGCCCAUGUCGGAUUAGCUUGUUGGUGAGGUAACGGCUCACCAAGGCCGCGAUCCGUAGCUGGUCUGAGAGGAUGAUCAGCCACACCGGGACUGAGACACGGCCCGGACUCCUACGGGAGGCAGCAGUGGGGAAUAUUGGACAAUGGGGGAAACCCUGAUCCAGCCAUGCCGCGUGUGUGAAGAAGGCCUUCGGGUUGUAAAGCACUUUCAGUGGGGAAGAAGGCAUGGUGGUUAAUAACCAUCAUGAAGGACAUCACCCACAGAAGAAGCACCGGCUAACUCCGUGCCAGCAGCCGCGGUAAUACGGAGGGUGCAAGCGUUAAUCGGAAUUACUGGGCGUAAAGGGCGCGUAGGCGGCUUGCCAAGCCGGAUGUGAAAGCCCCGGGCUCAACCCGGGAACGGCAUUCGGAACUGGCAGGCUAGAGUGCAGGAGAGGAAGGUGGAAUUCCCGGUGUAGCGGUGAAAUGCGUAGAGAUCGGGAGGAAUACCAGUGGCGAAAGCGGCCUUCUGGACUGACACUGACGCUGAGGCGCGAAAGCGUGGGUAGCAAACAGGAUUAGAUACCCUGGUAGUCCACGCCGUAAACGAUGUCGACCAGCCGUUGGACCCUUGAGGGUUUGGUGGCGCAGUUAACGCAAUAAGUCGACCGCCUGGGGAGUACGGCCGCAGGCUAAACUCAAUGAAUGACGGGGCCGCACAGCGGUGAGCAUGUGUUUAAUUCGAUGCACGCGAGACUACUGCUCUGACAUCUGCGAAUCU